GAUGAAGAACGUAGCGAAAUGCGAUAAGUAAUGUGAAUUGCAGAAUUCAGUGAAUCAUCGAAUCUUUGAACGCACAUUGCGCCCAUUAGUAUUCUAGUGGGCAUGCCUGUUCGAGCGUCAUUAAGUCCACUUAAGCCCUGUUUAGUGUUGGGAGACUGCUCCAGCGGUGCUACCCUGUAGCUACCCUGCAGCUCCUCAAAGACAGCGGCGGAGUUGUGGUAUCCUCUGAGCUUAGUAACUUGUUCUAGCUUUCGAGUACACCACUUCCCCUGCCGUAAAACCCUUAAUUUUUAAUGGUUGACCUCGGAUCAGGUAGGAAUACCCGCUGAACUUAAGCAUAUCAAUAAGCGGAGGA
rnacentral:misc_RNA from 1 species